rnacentral:tRNA from 1 species
UCCAUCCCAGCGGAGUGGUUAACGCGUUACCCUGCUAAGGUAAUCUCUUCGGAGGCGUGUGUUCGAAUCACACAGGUGUCGAA